CCCUAGAACAAUAAAAAAAAAACUUGCUAAGUACAGCCAACACCCCCAUUAUAUUCAAGGGUCUCUGGAACAAUUGCAAGUAAUUUCCUACAGUAGAAGCACCUUCAUAGCCUUGACAACCAAACACUCCCAAAAGGGGGUGGGGCAGUGGGAAGGUUUAGCACCAACAACAGCUAGGACUUGCUAGACAUGACCAAAACAAGAGCAUUCAUGCUAAGAUUUCAAUCUAUACUAGAGUUCUUAAUUCUCAAAGAAAAAAAGUUAAGCAGAUUUCUACUUUAGUAGAUAGGUUUUUAGCGUAAAACCAGCUGCUAGAAUUUUCAUAUUGAGUUUUGAUUCAAAACGGCUGAAAUAUAUUAGAUAAAGCACAUUUCCAUGUGCUGGUUUUGAAUUUUCGUUGUUUCUUCCCAUCACCAUACUAAUCCUUGUCACCCUUGUUAAACUCUCAAGAAUGUUGGGAUGGGAGAUGGAUAAGCCCCAUUCAAUAUAAUAGAUACUAAGAAUGUUGCAAAAUCUUGCAUUUCCCCACCCCUUCCCCCUUCUAAAGUCAAUGUUUCCCCAGCCAUAAGCACAUUCAGAACAGCUUGUUUCUCUAUCAUCUAAGAGUUAAGUGCAGGAAAAUGCAUUCUUCGAGUCCUUCGGUCUUAAAUUGGCAAACCAUGAGUGUAAAAAAUAAUAUGAGGACCAAAGAUAUGUAUUCAUUCUUACCUUGAUAAUGAUAUCAGCAGGAAUGCAAUGUGUCAGUAAUUCGUACAAUCUCCCUCUGAUUUCAUAAAGCCUACAUGAGGGAUAAAAAUAAAAAGACAAAAUAAAAAUACUAUAUAGGCAUAAAAAAAGUUCAAACAGAUUAUUUGACAUCUAAGGCUUUGGUAUUAUAUAAUUUCUUAGAAAUAGCAUUCUAGUCAGCUUUCAAUUGUUGAUGCUGUUGUUGUUUUCUUUUCUUUUUUUUUUUUCAGAAAAGAUUGUUCCAAAUCUGGAGAGAGCUGUGGUUGAAAGCAGGUCAGCUUAUACCCAACAACAGUACCUCUUAGCUGUUGUAGAUAGCGCAUGGAACACUGUUUGUUUUCUAAGUGACUGAUUCAAUAUGUAAGUAAUUAAGUUUGAUUGACACAAGCUGAUAAUUGCUGCUUAAAAGGCAUCUGUUAAUUGAGACCAGUUAGAGUCAAUAGAGCACACGAGGAGAUCGCAAGUUUAGAGCAGAGCUAAGUUAAAGUCAAGACCGCGCAGGGAUCCACCCUUCAGAAUGUUUUAAUAUAAUAAAUAUUGGAAGAAA